AGCACGGUGGCUCAGUUGGGACAGCGUCGGCCUCAUGAUACAAUAUAUUGUGAAAACCGAAGAUCGUAAGAUCAAAACUUACCAGUGCUU